UAUCCUGUCUGAAUAUGGGGGGACCAUCCUCCAAGGCUAAAUACUCCUGACUGACCGAUAGUGAACCAGUACCGUGAGGGAAAGGCGAAAAGAACCCCGGCGAGGGGAGUGAAAAAGAACCUGAAACCGUGUACGUACAAGCAGUGGGAGCACCCUUCGGGGUGUGACUGCGUACCUUUUGUAUAAUGGGUCAGCGACUUAUAUUCUGUAGCAAGGUUAACCGAAUAGGGGAGCCGGAGGGAAACCGAGUCUUAACCGGGCGUUAAGUUGCAGGGUAUAGACCCGAAACCCGGUGAUCUAGCCAUGGGCAGGUUGAAGGUUGGGUAACACUAACUGGAGGACCGAACCGACUAAUGUUGAAAAAUUAGCGGAUGACCUGUGGCUGGGGGUGAAAGGCCAAUCAAACCGGGAGAUAGCUGGUUCUCCCCGAAAGCUAUUUAGGUAGCGCCUCGUGAAUUCAUCUCCGGGGGUAGAGCACUGUUUCGGCUAGGGGGCCAUCCCGGCUUACCAACCCGAUGCAAACUGCGAAUACCGGAGAAUGUUAUCACGGGAGACACACGGCGGGUGCUAACGUCCGUCGUGAAGAGGGAAACAACCCAGACCGCCAGCUAAGGUCCCAAAGUCAUGGUUAAGUGGGAAACGAUGUGGGAAGGCCCAGACAGCCAGGAUGUUGGCUUAGAAGCAGCCAUCAUUUAAAGAAAGCGUAAUAGCUCACUGGUCGAGUCGGCCUGCGCGGAAGAUGUAACGGGGCUAAACCAUGCACCGAAGCUGCGGCAGCGACACUGUGUGUUGUUGGGUAGGGGAGCGUUCUGUAAGCCUGUGAAGGUGUGUCGUGAGGCAUGCUGG
rnacentral:rRNA from 1 species